rnacentral:misc_RNA from 1 species
UACGGAGGGUGCGAGCGUUAUCCGGAAUCACAGGGCGUAAAGGGCGCGUAGGCGGUCUGUUAAGUCCGAUGUUAAAGACUGGGGCUCAACCCCGGCAUGGCGUUGGAUACUGGCAGGCUUGACGGUUGGAGAGGCGAGUGGAAUUGCCAGUGUAGCGGUGGAAUGCGUAGAUACUGGUAGGAACACCUAUUGCGAAGGCAGCUCGCUGGACAACUCGUGACGCUGAGGCGCGAAAGUGUGGGGAGCAAACCGG